UUAUGAUGUAAAUUUAUAGUCGAAAAUUACGAACCGUUGUUUAAAACUCAAAGAUUUUGGCGGUGUCUUAUAAACCCAGGGGAACCUGUCUCAUAACUCGAUAAUCCACGUAAUCCCCUCCUCUUCUAGAAAUCUCAGUAUGUGUACUGCCGUCGUAAGCACACCUCUAAAAGAUUAGUGUGCAAUAAAGAUAACUCUAAUACGUCAGGUCAAAGUGCAACUAAUGAAGAGGUGAUGAUGGGUUACACUCGCCACAUAGACACGGAAUAUAUAAUUAACUUAUAUAUAAAGGAGGACUUGGUUGUAAUUAAAUUUCAACAAUAAAAUGAAGGUGAAUUUAAGACAUGCACACAUCGCCCGUCACUCUCUCCCCAAGGAG
rnacentral:rRNA from 1 species